AAACGCCUCUGAAAAUGUUGUAUUUACCCUGACUAUAGCUCUGAGGCUUUUCCAAAAAACGCCUCUGAAAAUAAAAAAUGCACGCCUCUGAAAAUAAAAAUUGUAGUAGUGUUUUUGAAGCUGAAAGGUCACGCUGCACAUUGUUCAGCAAAGAGUUGGAACGUACUUCUACAAGGUAAUCAACCUUACAUGGGAAGGUCAUCCUCAACUCAGAGAUGUAGUUGAUGUUUAGUUCUUACUGCUUGGCCACUGUCAUUGUCAUUUUUUUAAUAUAUUUAACUACCAUGUUGUUUGGGCUGACUUUAAGACAAAACUGUUUAAAUUGCAGGGUGUCUUGUAUUGGCUCGGUUGGAUUUUCCUGUGGUAUAAUAGGUCAAGGAAUCGCCAAUAUGGUAAUAACUGCCAAGAGGUUAUGCCCAAUUGUUAUUAGUACUUUUGACCAUGAAACCUAGAAUAUUGUUUUACAAUUGAAUGGCUAAUUUUUUAAUUUCUUUUCAAUUCUAUUUCUUAUUGAAUACUUUUCAAAUACUAUAUUGUUUUGCAUACAUUUAUAUAUUCUUAUUGACUUAUUGAUAUCAUAUUUAUAUGUUUCUUCUCUCCCUCACUAAUGUUAAUUGUUAUUAUAUUAUUUGAUUUUAUCCCUUCUUGUGUGGUGAUGCUUAUUCCCUGUUCAGGAGCGUAAAAAAUUCAGAUGAAGAUAUUCAUGUUCCACCUCUUGGUAAAAGUGCUACGCUUUGGGAUAUGCUUUUGUACCCUUUUAAUCUUUUAUUAUCACCUUUACCUGGUCCGAGGUACAAUUUUUUACAUUUGCAAAUAGCUAAGUAUUGGUUUGAUGUAUAAUAAGACAUGUGGCAAUUAAAGUAUAGUAGGGCAUAUUUCAGUAUUGAAUAGCUGGCACUUUGCUGAUAUUAAAAAUAUUUUUGUUCAUCAUUCAUAUGACUAUCUUAGAAGCGGUCGCACCUACCCCGGCCGACCAGUACCGCCGCGUAAGGGAUGCUGGGUUCUCAUUCCCUUCUCAGACCUCCUCCUUCUCUUUGGUUUAUGCAGUGCUUCAUUGGUGCUCGCUUUGGUCUUCACCUCCGCUGCUAUCACCGUUACUCCAUUCUCAGUAUUCCAGGUCUACUUUUAUUUCUUUCAUGCCACAUGUACCUGAAUGGACUAGAGGGGUGAGGAAGAGGAGAUCGCGAGAGCAGAGACGGGGUCACAGACCUCAGAGCGAAGACGAGGGGCUGCUGGAUCGCGGGGUGAGGAAGAGGAGAGAGAUGGAGAGGAAGGAGAGAGAUCGAGAGACGGACCUCAAAUCGAAGAGGAGGGGCUUCAAAAUGCCCGGAUCACGGGGUGAGGAAGAGGAGAGAGAUGAGAGCAGAGACGGACCUCAGAUCUAAGAAGAGGGGCUUCGAAAUGCACGGAUCAUGGGGUGAGGAAGAGGAAAGAGAUC